GGGGCCCUCGCUCAAGCUCGAUGACGAGGUCCUCUGUCCCGACCACCAUGAUUCCCCAGCAAAUAAGAAGGUCGACCCCCUCGCCCUGUUUAUUUUUCUUUUGAAGUGAUUGUUGUUCUGCUGUUUCGUAUUUCUCCAGGGGCUAUCCAUUUUUCUUGGACUGAAACUGAUGCAGAAAAUGUGGCCAACUUCGUUUUCCUGAUACUCACAAGUUACAGCCAACGAUAGACUAGUUAUGUUGGCUAUUUCCUUUUCCUUUCUCACCGUGCGAGCACUACCAAUGUAGAAUUUGUGAGAUCUGCUAGUUAGUUAAGCAACUACUAAUUUAAUAAUUAAAUGCCCAUGAGAUGCUCUUGUUGGUUCCUUCAAUUUUUCUUGUUUGUGGAAUAAAAGUAAUUGAGUAAUCUCACUCAAUCGAUUGACCAAGAGUAAGAUUGUUAACUAGAUCUGCUAUUACACUGUUGCUCUGUUAUAUAUUAUGUACAAAGUUUAUAUUUGUUAUCAUCAUUUGGUUGAUCAGUCCUCCUCGUCUACUCCUCGCCUACUCUCGCUCUCGCACUAAUUAUAUAUACAAGUCUAGUGUCAGAUCCGUGAAAUGUACUUACUACCAUCAUUUGUUUGUAGCAAAUAUUACAAAUUUUGUUCAUCGCACCUUGUCGUACUCAGAGGCAAGGCAUUAUUUGCUGCCAUCUUGGAUUGUAACAAUUGGGUUUAUUUACUACUCCCUCCGUUCCGAUUUGCUUGUCGUUGUUUUAGUUCAAAAUGAACUAAAACCACGACGAGUAAAUCGGAACGGAGGGAGUAUUAUUCUGUAAGAUUUUUCUAAUGCUAGUUUUCUGGUUUGUCUAGCUUGAAGAACCUCUAACAUUGGUUUUCAUGGAGACAAAAUGAGAAGCUGAUUCAUUGAGAUAUUGGCUAAACAAAAGAGGAUUCCUUGCAACGGCAAUCCCUGGUGACAGAAUACAGUAGGUAAAUACAUAUUCCGAACUCUUCUGCCAUUGCCUAACUUGUUCGUUAGCAGCAAUAUAAAACUGUAAUCCCAACAAAUUAUAGCUAAUAUUUUAAUUUUAAAUAUCUGCCAUGCUGUUUUAACACUGGAAGCUAAAUAACAAGAUACAUUUUUCUCAGCAUGCUAUACUUGUAUGAGUUACAGAUUUCAUAAGUAUCAAGGAUAUAUCUAGCUUAAGCAUAUGUACACCUCUUGUUAUACCUACGACUCUGCUUGGAGUAUCUCUGCUAAGAUUUUAGCUAGUUUAAUAUACCUCGUGUCCACCUGUUAUGCUUAGCUGAAUGUAAGAACAAUUAGGAUGUCGUUAUCAUUACACUAGCAAUGAUAGCUGUAAGUAGUUAUUCCAGACAUGUGAUUCACAUUAUUUUCGAAAGAGGGAAAACCUUUGCCUUGUAUAUUAAUAAAGAAAGAAAAUGUCAAACUAUAUGUAUGUGCCAGAGUUGCACAUGUAACAGAGACAUGUGCUCACAGAUUGCUGCUAGUCUGUUUCCUGUAACCAUGUAAAUACAUUGUUUAUUACAUGGCACUCCUUUGACAUUUUCUUAAAGUUUCUUGAUGAUUCUAUACCACUUCAAUAUGUUACACAUUGUUUACUAUUGUCGGUGCUUUCAGAUGAACUUGCAGCAUAAACAUUUGAGUUUCAUGUGUAAACUUUUUGACAUACAAACAUUUGAAGUUUACGUCGACCGGUUCGAGGAUCAGAGGCUUCGCGUCGUGCAUAUUGUUUGUUAGUGAUGCCAUGUUUUUGGCAUAGAUACUUUGUUAUUAUCAUUUGUAGGAAUUGUAAGAUUUAAGAACUUUGGACAGUACACAAUUCCCUUUUUUCGUGUGUUCUAACUAUCUUGUUUCAACUAUCUAUUCAUAUCACAAGUAUCAAAUGUCGUAAAUAUGCUAGGUAUGAUAUGCAGGUAUGAUUGGGAAGCGGGCUACUUGGUGUUGCUCAUCACAAUCAGCCAAGACAUGAUGGUUGCCAUCAAGAGGGCCGACAACAAUAAUCUAAAUAACAGCCUUGAUAGUUUGUAUGUUCUGUUGAUGUAAAAUGAAUUGUACUCAUUCCUACGUGUGAUGUGUGGUAUAUCUUUGUCAAUCUAUAUUCUAAGUUAUCAUUUUGUAGAGGAUUUUGUAAACUGCUAUGUUACAGAUACAUACAGAUUGUUGCAUACUGUGUUGAACUGUGUAACGUUAUACACUUUGCAAAUACUUUCUCUUGGGCAAAAUUAGCAUUAGUAUUUGUGAAAUGCAUUAUUCUAAACACGUAUUGGGUAAAUAUUGG
rnacentral:lncRNA from 1 species